AGUCUCGUAGCCUAACGGUAGGGCAGCGGUCUCAUAAGCCGUGCAUACAGGUUCGAUUCCUGUCGAGACUA
rnacentral:tRNA from 1 species